ensembl:lncRNA LINC00923 long intergenic non-protein coding RNA 923
CCAAGUCACUGUGCCUUUCUGGCUUUCUUUACCUAUGUCCUGUAAAACGCCAGCCAGAAGCAAAUGAAUAUAUUAUCUGUCCGAAGCAAGACAUGGGGCAAAUGGAUCUAUGAGUCGUGGGUGAUUGGGACUCCUCGCUCGCGUGGGGGUGUGACUGUACUUCAGAACUCAUUUUCACCGAUGCUGACAUACAAGACAGUCCUCGGAGACCUGUCUAUCAAACUGCAACAUGCUCUGCAGAAAAAUUAGAUUACUCAUGCUCAGACAGAGGGGGCGAUGGCAAUUUAGAGUGGCCCCUUAAAUGCCAAUUACACUUGUAUUUACAAAACAAAUUAAACCCACGUAUAGGACAUUGUUCA